rnacentral:rRNA from 1 species
CGGCGGACGGGUGAGUAACGCGUGGGUAACCUGCCUCAUACAGGGGGAUAACAGUUGGAAACGGCUGCUAAUACCGCAUAAGCGCACAGUACCGCAUGGUACCGUGUGAAAAACUCCGGUGGUAUGAGAUGGACCCGCGUCUGAUUAGCCAGUUGGUGGGGUAACGGCCUACCAAGGCGACGAUCAGUAGCCGACCUGAGAGGGUGACCGGCCACAUUGGGACUGAGACACGGCCCAA